GUAACUCUCAACAGGGCAGGUCAGAGCAGCUUGUAAAGAAGAAAGUGAGUCAGUAAUGGAGCUCUCACUCUCCUCCUCUGUCAGUCUGAUUGUCAGAGGACGAUGAGGUUCUGGACUGUGAUCCCAGAGUCACUCCAACUAGUGCUGUGAAAUUCCCGCCGCUUGUGAUGGUACACCCUGAGCUUUCUGUUCACUUCCUUCACCAGAUCUUCAGUCUUCUUGUCGCCAGAUGUCUCAGCCUUGCUGACUUUAAUCACUUCCACCUCUUUCACGCUCCCUCGUCCACUACUUCCACUGUCUGCAAACGAUUGCAAGCUCGUAGCCAGGGGGGGUCGAGUGGUUCAAAAGACACACCCCUCACUGACAAAGGUCAAGAAUUUGUCCUGUACAUGAGCUCAUUUGUCCUACUUUGACUGCUAUACCGACAUGAAUUGUGAAAAUAACUCAUCAAAGAAGGCUUAAGACAGAGAAGAAUCUGACGAUGGACUCGAGAUGAUGUCCAGGCUCAGUAAGGAGUUGGUGCGUGAGCGCACUGGUGUGGGGCAGGUGUCUGUCAUCAGAUAGUUCUCCGUCUGGAUGCUCACCUGAUCAAAACUCCUGCGCAACAGAGAGACGAUUGUUACUGAGGUUUGCGAAAACAAUGACUCCCGGAUGCCCCAGUUUGGAAACAGAGAGCUCGCCGAAGGACUACAAAUCCGCCAUUUCAUGGAAUACAAUAUCCAAUCAUGCACCACACAACCGGUUCCUGAUCCUGACUGAUUAGACUCACACAGUUGAUGCUGCUCAAAGACUGAUUACAAGGACUAUAAAAAACAACACAAACACACACAUUGUUGCUGAGUCUUGUUAAACUGUAAUGUCAACAUUACACGUUUCCCUUGCCUAGUCUUGCUGUGUACCGAUCUUUGUUUUGUUUGUUUUGUUUGUUUAUUCCAGUACGUUGCCUGCCUUUUGACCAUCUGCCUGCUUAUUGAAUAUGAUUCUGGAUUGACUGUGUACAUUGAUUUGCCCCUGUGUUGACUAUUGCUUACCUAACCACCUCAGUAUAAUAAACCUUGUGUUUGGAUCCUCA